CUGGAACUCAACGGAAGUCCUUUCCGUUCCCACAGCCUCUGGUCACUGCCACUGACCUUCUUCCUGAAACUGCCGUCUGAAAGCAGGAAGCUCAGACAAAGCAGAACUGGAUGAAGAUGGGUGGUAGCUGGCAUUUCCAUUCAUGCCACUGCCUUUGUGAUGAGAGCAUCUGUGCCCAGUGACGGUUUAAGCCAGCAAUUCUUAACCAGAGUGCUGCAGCACCCUGGGUGCCUCGAGACACUUCCAAGGGUGCCGCAACAUGGUAGUGCUGUUAGGUGUGCAAAUAUGGUUCACGAGAUAAACCCAGUGAUUUCAAACACAAUAUCAAAGGAUGUUAUAAAUUAAUCUGACCCGCUGUGGUAUUUCCAAGGUCUUUGCAACAGAAGAAUCACUCUAGUUUUCUGUAGUCAGAAAACAAGUGAAAACUAAGAGCUGGCAUUUUCUGAGGGUGGGGGGAGGUCUUUUGUCGAAAAAAGGUUAAGAAGCACUGGUUUAAAUGAUUGCAUACAUUUUGCAGCCUUGCACUGUCUGCACAGAGCUGUUGGAAGCAUUAGAGGUUAUUUGACAGCCAGAAAUAAACUUGGGUUUAAACUCCCCA